AAGCGGAGGAAAAGAAACCAACAGGGAUUGCCUCWAGUACGGCGAGUGAAGCGGCAAAAGCUCAAAUUUGAAACCCUCGGGAUUGUAAUUUGAAGAUUUGGCAUUGGAGAAAGCUAACCCAAGUUGCUUGGAAUAGUACGUCAUAGAGGGUGACAACCCCGUCUGGCUAACCGUUCUCCAUGUAUUGCCUUAUCAAAGAGUCGAGUUGUUUGGGAAUGCAGCUCAAAGUGGGUGGUAAACUCCAUCUAAAGCUAAAUACUGGUGAGAGACCGAUAGCGAACAAGUACUGUGAAGGAAAGGUGAAAAGAACUUUGAAAAGAGAGUGAAAUAGUAUGUGAAAUUGUUGAUAGGGAAGGAAAUGAGUGGAGAGUGGCCGAGGUUUCAGCCGCCCCUCGUGGGCGGUGUACUGCCGACGCCGAGUCAUCGAUAGCGAGACGAGGGUUACAAAUGGGAGCGCCUUUCGGGCGUUCUCCCCUAACCCUCCACACUGCCACCGACGACAUAAUCCACCCAUUUCACCCGUCUUG
rnacentral:rRNA from 1 species